UAGCGACAGGCUUAACACAUGCAAGUCGAGGGGCAGCAUAAAAGUAGCAAUACUUGGUGGCGACCGGCGCACGGGUGAGUAACGCGUAUGCAACCUACCUAUCAGAGGGGAAUAACCCGGCGAAAGUCGGACUAAUACCGCAUAAAACAGGGACACCGCAUGGUGAUAUUUGUUAAAGAAAUUCGCUGAUAGAUGGGCAUGCGUUCCAUUAGGUAGUUGGUGAGGUAACGGCUCACCAAGCCGACGAUGGAUAGGGGAACUGAGAGGUUGGUCCCCCACACUGGUACUGAGACACGGACCAGACUCCUACGGGAGGCAGCAGUGAGGAAUAUUGGUCAAUGGGCGAGAGCCUGAACCAGCCAAGUCGCGUGAAGGAAAAGAAGGAUCUAUGGUUCGUAAACUUCUUUUGCAGGGGAAUAAAGUGCAGGACGUGUCCUGUUUUGUAUGUACCCUGAGAAUAAGGAUCGGCUAACUCCGUGCCAGCAGCUGC
rnacentral:rRNA from 1 species